UAGAACUGGAGACAGAACUCAAGGUGUGGCCCCAUCAGUACCAUUACAAAAGAAGAAUCAUUUCCUUCUUCCUGCUGGCCCCACUAUUUCUCUGCAGGUUGGGAUGCCAGGAUGUUUUGACAACCAAACACUAAGUGAAUUUUCUGUGUUGCCAUUCACCAUGAGGAGUCCUCAGGAAGAAUUUUAGUUUCUAGAAAGGUGCAUCAGAGUACCAGUAGCCUCUGAACUUUCUGGUGGCGCAAACUACAGUGUCUGAAAUGAAAAAGCCAGCAAAACAGGGAUUAGCAAAGAGCACUAUGAGACGGUAUUUAUGAAAGCUUACAAAAUUGCUUGACAGCAACUGUACUAUUAACUAUAGUUAGUGCACCGUAGUGGGAACUGGCUUUGGUGCUAGAAGGCUGAAGUGUAGUAAAUGUGAUACCAGAGGGAAAUUAGAGAAAAACUGAUGGUUUCCCCAGGAAAAAUGAUAAAAUGUAUAAAAAUUAAUAGAAUUAAUGAGUAUAAAGAGAUUUGCCAUGAGAAAGAAGGAGUACAUCAAGGAAAAUGAUGCUGCACAGCUUCAUUAUGCAUCUCAUACAGCUCAGGGGUUGCUAUAUGGCUGGGCAAAUAUGGUUGUCCUGAAAUCUUCAAUGUGCAAACCUCAUUUCAUCAUCUGAAAAAUUAUGUAGCAGAUAUGGAAAAACAAGAGAGAUGCAAAACAAGGAUACUGAGUGAUUUCCUUAGCACAAAUCACUAUUCAGACAAAAACUUGUCAGGCUGGAAAAGGAAUGGUGGAAGCUGGAUGUGCUAGAGGCCCUUAAUAUCAUAAACAUAUGCAGAAGGUGGACCUGGAGCGGUGCGUUCCCGGCGACGGAUAGUGAGCACCAAAAGACUGGCAGAUGGCGUCUUCUUGGAAGAGAUAUUUCCACGUUGUGCUUCAUCAGGCUGUGGAAGUGUGUUCAGAGUGCUAGUACACCACAUGGUUUCUAGAAGCAUAUUCAGCAAAUUCAUGAAAUCCAUUUUAAGACUAUAAAAAGUGUACAAAGCCAUCUUUCCCUCAGUAAAGCCCUGAAUUGUAUAUUGGUGGACUCUGAGAAGGUGCAGAGACCUUUGGAAGAAAUGGUGAGAAUGGAGAGGGUAACACCUGCUCAAAGAAGCUUUUGCUGCCCCGAAAAGGCUUUAACGUGGGAAAGAAUUCAUUCUCAUGCAGGAUGCUGUGUAUCUUUGUCUGCCGAGAGGCUGAGGAAGAGACAAAGUGUUCUUACAGAAAGAAACUUCAGGAGUGGCAAAGCUCAGGAAAAACAAUAGGAUGAA